rnacentral:rRNA from 1 species
UGGGGAAUAUUGCACAAUGGGGGAAACCCUGAUGCAGCGACGCCGCGUGAAGGAAGAAGUAUCUCGGUAUGUAAACUUCUAUCAGCAGGGAAGAAAAUGACGGUACCUGAGUAAGAAGCCCCGGCUAACUACGUGCCAGCAGCCGCGGUAAUACGUAGGGGGCAAGCGUUAUCCGGAUUUACUGGGUGUAAAGGGAGCGUAGACGGCAUGGCAAGUCUGAAGUGAAAGCCCGGGGCUCAACUUCCGGAUUGCAUUGGAAACUGUGGGACUUGAGUGCCGGAGAGGUAAGCGGAAUUCCUAGUGUAGCGGUGAAAUGCGUAGAUAUUAGGAGGAACACCAGUGGCGAAGGCGGCUUACUGGACGGUAACUGACGUUGAGGCUCGAAAGCGUGGGGAGCAAACAGGAUUAGAUACCC